GCCUUCGUGGCUCAGCCGGUAGAGCGCGUCCUUGGUAAGGACGAGGUCCCGGGUUCGAUUCCCGGCGAAGGCU
rnacentral:tRNA from 1 species